rnacentral:misc_RNA from 1 species
GAUGAAGAACGCAGCGAAAUGCGAUAAGUAAUGUGAAUUGCAGAAUUCAGUGAAUCAUCGAAUCUUUGAACGCACCUUGCGCUCCUUGGUAUUCCGAGGAGCAUGCCUGUUUGAGUGUCAUUAAAUUCUCAACCUCAUCAGUUUUGUUAUGAAGCUGUGUGAGGCUUGGAUGUGGGGGUUUGUGCAGGCUGCCUCAGUGCGGUCUGCUCCCCUGAAAUGUAUUAGCGAGUUCCAACUGGGCUCCGUCUAUUGGUGUGAUAAUUAUCUACGCCGUGGAUUGGGCUUAGACUUGCUUCUAACCGUCCGCAAGGACAAUCUUUUGACAAUUUGACCUCAAAUCAGGUAGGACUACCCGCUGAACUUUAGCAUAUCAAUAAGCGGAGGA